AGCUUGCUCUUCAAAUCGAGUGGCGAACGGGUGAGUAACGCGUGAGGAACCUGCCUCAUACAGGGGGAUAACAGUUGGAAACGACUGCUAAUACCGCAUAAGCGCACAGGAUCGCAUGAUCCGGUGUGAAAAACUCUGGUGGUAUGGGAUGGACCCGCGUCUGAUUAGCCAGUUGGCAGGGUAACGGCCCACCAAGGCGACGAUCAGUAGCCGGCCUGAGAGGGUGAACGGCCACAUUGGGACUGAGAUACGGCCCAGACUCC
rnacentral:rRNA from 1 species